rnacentral:rRNA from 1 species
GACGAACGCUGGCGGCGUGCUUAACACAUGCAAGUCGAACGGAAAGGCCUCUUUCGGGGGGUACUCGAGUGGCGAACGGGUGAGUAACACGUGAGUAACCUGCCCUUGACUUUGGGAUAACUUCAGGAAACUGGGGCUAAUACCGGCUAGGAGCUCCUGCUGCAUGGUGGGGGUUGGAAAGUUUCGGCGGUUGGGGAUGGACUCGCGGCUUAUCAGCUUGUUGGUGGGGUAGUGGCUUACCAAGGCUUUGACGGGUAGCCGGCCUGAGAGGGUGACCGGCCACAUUGGGACUGAGAUACGGCCCAGACUCCUACGGGAGGCAGCAGUGGGGAAUAUUGCACAAUGGGUGGAAGCCUGAUGCAGCAACGCCGUGUGCGGGAUGACGGGCUUCGGGUUGUAAACCGCUUUCGCUCAUGACGAAGCUUUGUGUGACGGUAGUGGGUAAAGAAGCACCGGCUAACUACGUG